rnacentral:rRNA from 1 species
UGCGUAGGCGGUUCCCCAAGUCCGCUGUGAAAGCCCCGGGCUUAACCUGGGAAUGGCAGUGGAAACUAUGGGACUUGAAUCCGGCAGAGGGGGGUGGAAUGCCACGUGUAGCAGUGAAAUGCGUAGAGAUGUGGCGGAACACCGAUGGCGAAGGCAGCCCCCUGGGCUGAGAUUGACGCUCAGGCACGAAAGCGUGGGGAGCAAACA